UCACGGGGAUAUUAUGUCCGGGGAUAUUAACGCACGGAACCAAAUUUCAUAAUGAUCCGAUCAGAAUUGUAGUCACAAUCGUUAGGACAUGGCGCGUUAUGUCAUAUAUAUAUAUAAAUUUUUGAACCAAAGGCAUUUUUCGGCAUUUCUCGACAAAAUAAAACAUUAUAUCAAAAUUUUGGAAAAUUUGCAAUAUGAGACCCUGUACAAUAGCUAUUUCACUACUUUCUAAAAGAAAUAUACUUCAAAACCCGUGUCAGUCCACGGUAUUAAGGCUUUUGGCGACACAUUUGACUCCAACCACGGUUUGAAAAUAACAUCAAAGUCAAUAUUUCCAUCGUUUCUAGACUUCAUCAAAAGACUUCGAAGUUAUGAUCAGCAGAAUAAUCAUCCGUCAACUCAAAAAUCUAAUUUACUAAUUACGGCUACCCCACGAAAGAAUACCUUUACACAGGUUUGCGUUAAUUCCACCUCCGCACGAUCAAAAUAGAGUCUCCAACCCCGUGUUUUUUUAUUACAGUGUAGGUAAUUUGUUUUGUCCGCAUGAAAUAAAAAGUAAAAAGAUUUAGCCAUUGGUGUUGUCACUUUAAUACACGGUUAGAACCGUUUGGUAUACGACGACAAGUUGGGAACUUAACGGUAAACUGUGUGGUGAGAAAACAGGUAAAUGGAAAUAGUAUGGAGUAAAAGCGAGACUACAAACUCAAUGUUAAAGGCGGCAAGACGAGGAAGCGGAGAAAGAGGUGUUUAAUCCAAUCCAGAGUUUGUUCUUUCGACGAUCGACGUAAUCACUGGCUUCUCGUAGUUUCCACUCAACUCUAGUCACUCGAAACACAGCUCUCGGGUAUACCAAUCAAGUGGGUGUAUACAGGUGAUAAAGCGGCUUUGAAGAUCUGAAUUUUGACCGACGUCAUUGUAUGUGGCUUACAAGUGGAUAAAAUAAUGUAUAUAGAGAACGGAGACGAUCUGUCCUAUAUGUAGACUCUAAGCUUAACUUCCGAGAAUAUUAAAUCAAUAAUUUCAGCUUCAAAGUUACACGAUAUAAUAUUCUAAAGUAAAGAUGAUCAAUAGGAAUAAUUUAUCCGAUACUGUGAUCCAUUACGAGCAAAAAAGGAUUCUGCGGACAUGAAUUAAAAAUAAAUUGUGCUAUCAUAUAUUUAAUUACCUAUUUAUAAUGCU